GCGCCAGCUGGGCCCAGCGUGAAAACUGAAGAACCCGCUGGCAGAGGUCGCGGGUCCACGCUGCCAGGGGCUUGAGCGAGGGCGGCGGGACUCUGGCGUCGUACAUGCAGUUGAAGGUCUCCUCCAAGCUGGAUGACAUCACCACCAAGCCUUUGAUUCCCUUCUCCAGCUCCAUGGCCAAGACGGGCACACCAGAGGAAGCAGCACAAUGAACGACUACAGUGCGUUGUUUUGCUAAAUAUUACAGAGGGC